CGCCGGAUCGACAAACCGAAGCAACCACGACGCUCCUGGCGAAGUUCUCUACAAGUCUGCCAGAGCGGAUCGUCAAGAAAACGAAGUUGGAUUUCAUCUCAAAUCCAAGUUCCAGGGUAUUGAUUGGAAACGUUGGGAAUUAUCCCUAAGUUGAAGGUGUUGAGUUAAGAACCUUGCAGGUACGGGGAAAAUUUUCUUUAGGGUUUUUCAGGAAUCAG